AAAAAAUAGACAACAUCAAAAUUUUAUUACUCAAAGUAAAUAAUCAGCAUACAUAUCUUAUUACAUGUAUUAAAUAAAUUACUAAUAUUAUAUUCUGAGUUUAUUUAAUAAUAUUAUACUAGGAAGUAGAAAAGCAUAAUGAAGGGAAAUAUGGUCAUUGAGCACCAAGAGUGUAUAAGCUUUGGAGUAGAGAUAAAUCAAUAUUCUUGGUUGGAUCUUCUUUCUUCACAAUUCACAUGGAGAUAACAAGGGAGAAUUGGACUAGGAUGCUAGUUUCAUUAUCUUGCAUAUAAGCUUCAUUUCCCACCGUCACCAUAGAUUGAAUCAAGAACACGAGUAAUGGCUGAAAUUAGAAGUAUGGAUUGAAGGACUUGGAAGGGAGGAGAAAAUGACAAGAAUUUUCAAACAAACAAGCAAGAGGAUUUCCAUCUCAAACCUUCAAGUUGAGGUUUACUUAGCUUGAAGAUUUCAAGCAUUGUUGGUGUAUUUGAGAGUUUAUUUGAAAGCUUGGUAGAGUUGGAUGUACGAUAGAUUGAAACCAGGAAGACAUGCACUUAAACCCAAUUUUAUAGAAGGAGUUGAUGGGUUUAUCACGUGGGCAUUUGUUCAGGAAUGUUGUCUAAGCGAAGGGGGAGUUAGGUGUCCUUGUCUUAAAUGUGAAUGUAGACGUAUAAUUAGUGAUCCAAAGGAAGUAAUAUAUCAUUUGCAUAGAAGGGGUUUCAUUAAAAAUUAUUGGGUUUGGAGAAAAAAAUCAGGUGAUUUGGUUGACGAGCGUACAUGAAAAGCUUUGGAGGAUUAUCAAACAUUGCUUGUACAAUUUUUGGUCAAUAAUCCCCAAUAUUCUCCUAGAGAGUCAGAGCCGCUUCAUUUAGAUGUUGACUUUUACAUUUGGAAUGAAGUCGUUGGCGGAAAAUGGCCUAAUGGAUGUUUUUUUGGUGGUGGAAAUUUGGCUGAUAGUUUGAGAAGUGGAGAUAGAACUUUAUUUCAAAGAGUUAGAGAUGGGGAAGGAACUUCACGUCCAGCACAAUUGUCACCGCAAAUGAUGGAAAUAAUAAGACAAAUGACGCUAACUAAGGCAUGACGCGAGUCAGCACAGCGUGAGGCGGCGCUAAAAGUCCAAAUGGAGGAACAACAACGAAAAAUAGAGGCAAUGGGGAAGACGCAAGCACAAAUGGAGGAGCAAAUGCGGUUAUUUAUACAAUUCCAAUAAAGAAGUGGUAGUCAACCGUUUGGUGGAAACGUAGGAAUUGGUGGAAAUGAGCAAGAGAAUGAUGAUGAUAUGAACCUUGACUAUUUUUCCGAUCCAGAAAACCCUUAGUAUUAAUUUUAUUCUUAUUUGAAAUUUGAAAUUGU